rnacentral:misc_RNA from 1 species
AGGAGAGAAAAGGAGCUUGUCAAGGUGAGGUUGAUAAUUUCUUGUAUUCCAUAGCUCUUUAUUCUCAGAGUAUCUAUCAUUCAUUGAACUCACUGGAUGUGGAACAUUCAGUUAGGAGCUAAAAAGGAAAAUAGUGGAGAAAGUAAGUAUGUAUAUCAGUGAGUGUUUCUUCCACUUAAUAAUUUAGUCCUUUGGGAUUAUGCGAGCUCAAUGAACAGCAAGGAUGAGGCAGACUUUGAGUCCAGUGAUGACUUUCCAAAGGCCAAAUAGUAGAGAAUUAGAUUGUAAAAUUGCAGGUUAAUGGCCUUACUUGUUGCCUACUUAUCUGUGCCUGAGUGAAUUGCUUAUAUAUCUAUAGGGGGUUUUGGGUUUUGUGAACUCGUCAAGUUUUCUGCACUUACUGAUAUUUAUGGACAUAUCUAGAUGAUGAUGUAGUGCUUGGGGAGUGUUUCUCUUAAUAGGUGUGGCAUCAGAAUUAAGGAAUCUGGCGUUUGCUGCACUGUUCUUUGGGUUCAGGUAGAGAAUCUGAAUCCUCAUAAAUUGGGCAACAAAUGGAGCAAGUAUGAGUCCUUGUAAAAGGUGGAGUUGAGUUCAAGUCUUUACUAUAUUUUUAGUUGGCUCUAAAUCAAACAGAACUAGAGAUCCUUAUUUUUUUCCUCCUUUAUGUGAUCUCUUUUAUCAUUGCAAAUGUUUUUAUCUUGUUAUGUGGAACUUCACUUCACAGUCAGCUCAUUAUAUUGCAAAACAAACUAAUUGUAUAUGAAUGUUAUUAUUUUUAUGGAAAAACCUGAAUCCUGACAAGUCUUUAGCUGAGUUGUAAUGCAAGUGUUGGACAAAAAAAACACCAAAAGACAUCCAUUAUACAGGUAGGAUAGUCUCUUUUGGUAGCCAAUAAAAGCAGGUCAUUACAACCAAGAUCUGCUUAAUUUAUGGAGUUAAAAUGUUUAACAAAUAUGCGCAAAGAGCAAGAAUGUCAGAUGAAUAACUUUCUUGUGUGCGACUCAUUCAUUGAAAGCAGUUUCUCUUUUGGCAACAUAGAAGUUAGGAUUUCUUAGAAAUUAUUUUCUUUGUGCAUAUUCAUCUGAUAGUAUUUAGAAGAUAUGGGAGAAGGUGAAUUGGUGAGUGUUAAUAUCCCACGUUGGUCUGGGAUAGGUGUAAUAUGCUUCUUAUAAAACCUUGGACUCUCCUCUCUCCUGGAGUUAGCUUUUGGGGGUGAGUUAGGUCCCAUCCAUUUUCUUAAGAGUGAGGAUUGCAAGAUAUUAUCGAUUGGCAUUCCUUUUGUUAAGCCGUAAGUAGAAUGUUGAGGUGUGCCUAAGCACUUUUCUUCAGAUUAUUAAAUCAACAGACAGGAUACUGUACUAAUACUGCAUCAUCAAUAUUUCUUAAUUGGCAGCCCCCUCGACGAUCUCUGGAUG